ensembl:lncRNA
UGCCAAAAGGAAUAUUGCCAAAAGGAACAUUUUCAAAACGAAUAUUUUCAAAACGAAUAUUUUUUUUAUCAACAUAGUUUUUGUUUAUCCAAAUUUCUUUUGAAAUAUUAUCAAAGAAGUUGUAGUAGUAGUACGCAUGAAAUAAUUAAUACAAAGAUGAGCAUCCUUAACAACAUACCUAGUAAACAAUUUUUUCCAUCUGAAAAAAAAAAUUACAAAAUUAACAAACUGAACAAUAAUAAUAAUCACACCGAAAUAACAAACCAACGGGAUGAAUCUCUACAUUAUGUUUUCGAUUUAUCAGAAAAUAACAAUGUACUUACUGAAAAUAAAAACAAUUUUAAAAAUAAAUUUUUAUCAUUUUUUAAUACAGAUAAAAAUAAAAAAGAACAAAAGAAAAAAAAAAAAAAAAAAAAAUAUAGAUAAACCAUUUAACGAAAAUAUUAAUGAUAUUUAUACCAUACAUAAUAAUACACCAUCCAAUCAAAAUAAGUAUUACGAAUAUAAUAAACUUGAUGAAAAAUAUGUAUUCACAAAACAAACUGCUUUGCAAAAUAAAAAUACAGACAUUAAUCAUAAUACUUUUAAUCUCCCUCUAAUAAAAUAUGCAUAUAAAAAUAAACAUCUGCUUAAUAAAUAUAAUGAAGAAGGAGUAAAAUACAUAUUAAAUGUUAUAAAAAAAGGAAAAAAUAGGAAAAGAAAAAAAAAAAUAAAUAAAAAAAAAAAAAUAAAAGAAAAACGAAUGCAAAAAUUUUGUGAUAAUAAAAAAACAAAAAAAAACUGUAACACAAUAAUUAUGGAGGUAGAAAGAGAGCUAGCCAAAUGUGUACCAACUAAAAACUUUUUUUUUUAUUCACCCCCGAUAUGUUUUUGUCUCUACAACAACAAUUACCAAAAUAAAAAACAAUACAAUACUUAUUUGCACACAUAUGAAUUUUUACUAGACAUUUUAUCUUUUUUUAAUAAUAAUAAUUUAGUAAUAAAUGAAAUCAUACAAUUAUAUGACGACAAUUAUAAAAAUGGUUUGAUAUAUACAUAUAAAAAAAAAAAUGACAAAAAUAAUAGUACAAUAAAUAAAGUUGAAAAAAAUAAUAGUACAAUAAAUAAUGUUGAAAAAAAUAAUAGUACAAUAAAU